rnacentral:ncRNA from 2 species
CAAAAUAGCGAGCUCCUUAGCUGACCUACCUAACCCCCCUGCAGGUACGGUAUUCAGCCGAUCGGUACAGUUGGAAACGGCUGUACUUCCCCUGCUUUGGAAAGGAGUACAAUGUAGUAGCGG